AGCAGUGUUCCUGUGCAUGAGGAGGUGUGGGGCCGCAUCCGGAGCUGCGCUGUGCAGUCGAGCCGAUCUGCCCCAGUGCAUCUAUGAAGCACGGAAUAAAAGGCUCACUUGAUGGAACUGAGCUCUGCUGCUGUGCAAGCACAGCCUGGCCAGGUUAUGUGCUCUGUCUGCCCUUAACCACCUGCCGUGAAUCUCAGCUGGUGCACUCAGUGACUGCUAUCGCUGGCUGUGAAAGAACUCCUGUUCUGGGCUCAGUAUAUAGAAGCAAACCCCAACAGCACACAGAGGCAACAUUCCUGUAUGACACCCCCAUCAUCAAGCCCAGAUGCUCUG